rnacentral:rRNA from 1 species
UGGGGGAUAUUGCACAAUGGGGGGAACCCUGAUGCAGCGACGCCGCGUGGGUGAAGAAGCGCCUCGGCGCGUAAAGCCCUGUCAGCAGGGAAGAAAAUGACGGUACCUGAAGAAGAAGCCCGGCUAACUACGUGCC